rnacentral:lncRNA from 1 species
GUAGGGUCCCAGGCUUCUGUGGACUGCUCUUAUGGGGUAGGGCUUUGCACUCCCUGGUAAGGGAAGAAGUAGGGAUCACCAGUCUCCACAAUUAUUUUCUCCAGUGGAUAUGUUUCAGAGACUCAGUCCUCCUAGGCAGAAGAGAACAUCAGGAAUGCCCACAGACAUGUUCGUAUGCCACCUGGAGUUCAGAGAAGUGAGAUUACUUACCUAAAUCAACAUUUUAUCUGAAAAUGGGAAUGGAGGUGAAAGAAAUGGAUCGAACUCAGGACCUUGUGCUUGCCAGGCAGGCACCGGCACCACUGAGCUACAUCCCCAGCAGGCUUGACAACUUUGACACCAGGCCCCAGCAUGUCCCACCAGUACCUCUUCUCUAAGAAGGCUGUGACACUCAGAGAACGAAUCCCUAGAAACAUCCAGAACCAUACAGAGGAGGGGACAGAAGUGGUGAGUCGGGGGCUGAAGGACCAUGAGAAGAGGGGAGGAGAGAGACACACAGAGUCCAGGAAAGUGCAUGGUUGGCUGGGAGAGGUAGUGGC